rnacentral:rRNA from 1 species
AGCGAACGCUGGCGGCAGGCCUAACACAUGCAAGUCGAACGAACCUUUCGGGGUUAGUGGCGGACGGGUGAGUAACACGUGGGAACGUGCCUUUAGGUUCGGAAUAACUCAGGGAAACUUGUGCUAAUACCGAAUGUGCCCUUCGGGGGAAAGAUUUAUCGCCUUUAGAGCGGCCCGCGUCUGAUUAGCUAGUUGGUUGAGGUAAUGGCUCACCAAGGCGACGAUCAGUAGCUGGUCUGAGAGGAUGAUCAGACACAUUGGGACUGAGACACGGCCCAAACUCCUACGGGAGGCAGCAGUGGGGAAUCUUGCGCAAUGGGCGAAAGCCUGACGCAGCCAUGCCGCGUGAAUGAUGAAGGUCUUAGGAUUGUAAAAUUCUUUCACCGGGGACGAUAAUGACGGUACCCGGAGAAGAAGCCCCGGCUAACUUCGUG